rnacentral:sRNA from 1 species
GCUGGGCGCAGUGGCGCACACCUGUAGUCCCAGCAGCUUGGGAGUCUGAGGCAGGAGGAUUGUGAGUUCAAAGCCAGCCUCAGUAACUUGGCGAGGCCCUAAGCAAUUUAGUGAGACCCUGUCUCUA